UAACGGCGAGUGAAGCGGGAUGAGCUCAAAUUUGAAAGCUGGCAUCAAUGUCCGCGUGGUAAUCUCGAGAGAUGUUUUCCGCGCUGGACCACGUACAAGUUCCUUGGAAUAGGAUGUCAUAGAGGGUGAAAAUCCCGUACUUGAUGUGGACGCCCAGUGCUUUGUGAUACGUCUUCGAAGAGUCGAGUUGUUUGGGAAUGCAGCUCAAAAUGGGUGGUAAAUUCCAUCUAAAGCUAAAUAUUGGGGAGAGACCGAUAGCGAACAAGUACCGUGAGGGAAAGAUGAAAAGCACUUUGGAGAGAGAGUUAGACAGUACGUGAAAUUGUCAAAAGGGAAGCAUUUGAAGUCAGACGUGUAUUGCAGUAUUCAGCCUUGCUUUUGCUUGGUGUAUUUGCUGUAGUACAGGCUUACAUCAGUUUUGAGUGACGGAUAAGGGUAGAGAGAAUGUGGCAUCCUCGGAUGUGUUAUAGUUCUWUACUGGAUACGUCCYUUGGNAGUGAGGCACNCAGCNCUCCNCAAGGCAGACCCUCGGGUACUUUCNAGCUU
rnacentral:rRNA from 1 species